rnacentral:rRNA from 1 species
CCUACGGGGUGCAGCAGUGGGGAAUAUUGGGCAAUGGGCGCAAGCCUGACCCAGCAACGCCGCGUGAAGGAAGAAGGCUUUCGGGUUGUAAACUUCUUUUCUCAGGGACGAAGAAAGUGACGGUAGCUGAGGAAUAAGCCACGGCUAACUACGUGACAGCAGGCGCGGUAAUACGUAGGUGGCAAGCGUUAUCCGGAUUUACUGGGGGUAAAGGGCGUGUAGGCGGGGAAGCAAGUCAGAUGUGACAACCACGGGCUCAACCUGUGGCCUGCAUUUGAAACUGUUUUUCUUGAGUACUGGAGAGGCAGACGGAAUUCCUGGUGUAGCGGUUAAAUGCGUAGAUAUUAGGCGGAACACCAGUGGCGAAGGCGGUCUUCUGGACAGCAACUGACGCUGAGGCGCGAAAGCGUGGGGAGCAAACAGGAUUAGAUACCCUAGUAGUC